GGCUUCCUGGUGUAAAUGGUUAUCACGUCAGUCUAACAACGGUCCAAUUGGACCGGUUAAUCACUGAAGGUACUCGGAUCGAUCCCGGGGGAAGUCA